rnacentral:misc_RNA from 1 species
CAACCCUCAAGCUCUGCUUGGUAUUGGGCAUCACUAGAAAUAGUGUGCCUUAAAAACAGUGGCGGUGCCAUCUGGCUCUAAGCGUAGUAAUUCUUCUCGCUAUAGAUGUCUUGUGGAUGCUUGCCAGCAACCCCUAAUUUUUUAAGG